UGUGUUGAUGAAAGAAUCAUCUUAAUUUCCUUAUCACUCCUACGAGACGUGUGCAGAAGGAAGUCCUGCAUUGGGAAACAAAUUCUUUGUCAUCUUGUCUGGACAAACAAACGGAGCUCAUCAGUCCGUUGUUAAACAGCGGAGAGAUUAUGGCCAAACUGAGGUGGACUCAUUUGAAGCAUGUUACUACCUCCUGGUUUUCUGUCCCAUUGCAUCACGUGUUGGAACAGACAUCCAUGAGGCCCUCAGCAAAAUUUCAGGUAUGUGGAUGUCCUCUGCACCAUGUGUUCGGAAUCAACAGCAGCAACAAAGUGAAUCUACUACUCCACAGUCUGAGCUCUGCUCACCACUUGAUGACAGCUCUGCAUGGAGCCCAGGAGGUCUGCUGGAGAGUGAUUAGUGAACACUGG